AGGAGGGAGAUUGCUAGUAAAGCGGCUGGAAUGGCCAACCCGAGCACAAGGAGAUGAGAAAUGAGGACAAAUUGCAACCUGUACGGAACAGGAGGUUAAAGGUGCUGAUUCUCCAAGGAGGGAGAUUGCUAGUAAAGCGGCUGGAAUGGCGAACCCGAGCACAAGGAGAUGAGAAAUGAGGACAAAUUGCCACCUGUACGGAACAGGAGGUUAAAGGUGCUGAUUCUCCAAGGAGGGAGAUUGCUAGUAAAGCGGCUGGAAUGGCGAACCCGAGAACAAGGAGAUG